UUAGCAAUAGAACAUAUGUGUGUAUUCAAGAUAAAAGAAAAUGUUAACAAUACAAAUACUAGCAAUUUUUUCACUGUAGUAUUUUUAGAUUGGAUAUGAACCAUCAGAACUGUACAACAAAAUACUCAAGCUAGAGUGAUAUUUAUCCUGAAUCACUUUCUUCUCUCAGCUUUCACUGUACCCUUUUUUCCUUCCUCAAAUCUCAAAGUAAUAUGAAACAAUAAAGGACAAGUAACUAAAUUACAACUUCAGGCAAUGAAAAUUCAUCAGUUCCAAUUUUCUAGUUGAUAUUUUAUGAAAUUGAAUUUCCAUUAACACUAAGGUCAUUUAGCUUUUGGUUAAAUCGAUUAUUUUCUGUUUUCUUUAGCACAAUAUUAGGCACUUAGAGACAAAGUGUUUAAAAAUAAUUUCCCUUAUUUUGGAUAAACUUACAAUCUCAAACCCAGAAUUUUUUAAAAGAAGAAAUUGGUCAGCUAUUUUCAUUACUAUAUCUUGAUAAAUAUAUAAAAGCCAGUGUUGUUGAGUGGAAAUACCAAUAUGGCACAGAAGUUUUCAUGGCAAUUUUUAUGUCAUUGAAUGGUAAAAAAGUUCAGUAUGAAAGAAGUAGUCUUUCAUAUACUGACACCAUUACAUAAAGUAACAAAGUAAUCAUUUUGAUAACCUGUUAUUAUAUUGUUAGCAAUGCAGCUUACAUG
rnacentral:lncRNA from 1 species